AUAUGAAUCACCUGGGCAUCUUGUUAAAAUGCAAAUUUUGAUUCAGUAGGUAUGAGAUGAGGCCAGAGAUUCUGCAAUUCCUAACAAGCUCUCAGGUGAUGGUGUU
rnacentral:pre_miRNA from 1 species